ensembl:lncRNA
UUUCACUUCUCCAGAUGUGAACUGAUGGACCGGAGUGCUGUGGAUUACUGUGAUGUUUUUAUCAGCUGUUUGGACUCUCAUUCUGACGGCACCCAUUCACAUCCAUUGGUGAGCAAGUGAUGCAAUGCUACAUUUCUCCAAAUCUGAUGAAGAAACAAACUCAUCUACAUCUUGGAUGGCCUGAGGAUCCCGUUUGUGUUCAGGUUUUCUACAGCUAUGGUCAGUCAUGCAGGAGCACUCACUAUGACCAACUAUACAGCCACCUGGUGAAAUCUGAUUUUAAUAAAAUCACACCGGUUCCAUCCCGCCUGCGCUAUUGAUCCUCUCAGUCCUGCCGACAGAAACUACACGCAGCUGUUUGAUCUGAGACAGACAGAUGUGCUUAAGACUAAAAGUGAUGGAGAAUUCUUGUCCAUGGAGAGGUUUGAGGGCUCUGGAUCACUUUGUUGCUUUCAUAGCUCACC